GCUUGUCGUGGCAUAUAUAGACGGAAAGAAAUAAAAGGUAUAGACAACACAUUAGUAGGCCUCCUGAGGUAGUCCUUAAGGAGGUCAUUAAAGACAUCAGUCUCUCCUUUGAUUCAGUGUAUUACAAGAAGAGCUGUUGUCACCCUUUGGAGACAUCUAUGAUGGAAGUAUGGGAGACCAACCUCCUGAGGCAGCGUGUC
rnacentral:lncRNA from 1 species